UUUCCGUAGGUGAACCUGCGGAAGGAUCAUUAUUGAAUAAUCGAGGUGCGAGCGCUGGCGCUCACCCGAGAGGUCGUGCACGCCCUAUUGCCCCCGCACACAUCCAUGUCACCACCAUGUUCAUCACCACGUUGGUCGCCCUUUGGCGUUUUCGGAGGGUGCCUUACGUUUUUACACAAACUAUUGAUUAAGGGUAUAAUGUAUUUUUUGUGUUUGCUAUCACGCAAUCAAUACAACUUUUAACAACGGAGCUCUAUGCUCUCGCAUCGCUGAAGACAA
rnacentral:misc_RNA from 1 species